rnacentral:rRNA from 3 species
GGACUACCAGGGUUUCUAAUCCCGUUUGCUCCCCUAGCUUUCGCGCCUCAGCGUCAGUGAAGGUCCAGUCCGUCGCUUUCGCCACCGGCGUUCCUUCUGAUAUCAACGCAUUUCACCGCUCCACCAGAAGUUCCACAGACCCCUACCUUCCUCGAGGCCGCCAGUAUCCAAGGCAGUUUUCCGGUUAAGCCGAAAGAUUUCACCCCAGACUUGGUGGCCCGCCUACGCGCCCUUUAAGCCCAGUGAUUCCGAACAACGUUCGCACGGUUCGUCUUACCGCGGCGGCUGGCAC